UUUUUUUUUUUUUUUUGGGUGCGUGAGGAGUGACAAAUCCAGAAAAGUAUAUUUAAGCGAAUGUAGUACCAGUAAUUCAUGUACAUUUUUUUUCUAUACGAAAGAAAUUAAAUCUGAUUGAAUGUGCAGUACUGCGGGCGGAGACUUUCGUGAUCAUACUCCUCUGGGCUUCGGUGUUUUUGAUUCAUAGUCUUUUCAAAUACUUGUGUGCAUUACUUGUGAAUAUACCGUAUUGGCCCGAAUAUAAGAUGGUGUUUUUUGCAUUGAAAUAAGACUGAAAAAGUGGGGGUCGUCUUAUAUUCGGGGUCUAGACAUUAUACCCAUUCACGACGCUAGAUGGCGCCAGAUAUCAUUGAAGCGAAUGCUGAACUUGACUCCCCAGGCCAAAGUGAACCCCUGUCACGAAGAAUAAAAAUAACGGUAGCACGAAGAAGAAAAAUAAAAAAUAGCGGUAAGAAGGAAAAUAGAAGAAAAUAAUAGAAGAGAUAACAGAAAAUGGAGAAACGUAGUGACAAUCUGGAGAAAAGUGGGUCGAAGAUCGGCCAGGUUAAAUGGCAGCUGAGGAGAAGUUAUGAUGUAAUUUACAUUUCAAAAACUGAUGCCAUUCAUUUACGAAUGUGAUUGCACUUUAGUUUACAUAUUUAAAUGUUCAGAUAUCAAAAUUUGAAUGAGGCAAAAAAACAUGAUUUUUCUCUCAAAUAUAUUGUAAACAUUUGUUUCACAUGUACUGUAAUUAUUUUCUGUAUAAAAAUUAAUUUGGUGUUCAAACUUGAGUCUUGAAAAAGAGGGGGCCGUCUUAAAAUCAGGGCCGUCUUAUAUUAGGGGCACUACGGUAAAUGAUCCAUUUCAUGAUAUUUUACAAAUGUUUUGCCGUUCACUGGUUGAGGGAGAUGAUGAGCGAUUGCGUGUGUGUUAGUGUGUGUGUAUACACGCUCUUCCGAGUGUUGAUUGUUGUUGGGAAAUUUGUUUUAAAAAAAAUCCCCUUGAGAGUUUUGACAGUGCAGUCGAAUGUUUCAGUGUUCCGGUACCACUUCAGUGUCAGUGAACAACACGUGAUGAUCUCAGGCUUACGUUUUUUUGCCAUUCUAUAAGGAAGAAAUCCAAAACUGUGACAACUCUGAAAACACAUUGUUAGAAGGGCAAUUCAAGUGGCUCUCAAUGAUCACAGUAUCUUGUCAGUAUCCGUGUUGUGUCAAAAAAAAUGAACCCAUUUUUUUGUUUUUUUUUGGACCCGGCGUCUCACCGUCUCCCAUGCGUUGGCUUUCGCCCAUCUGGCACGUCUCGUAAACGGGCGCAGCCGCCCCCUGCCGCUUCUGACUUUGUGUGUCCAUGGGGCUUGUAUAUCGGAUGCCUUCGACAAUCAUGUGCACAUAUCAGAGUUACCAUGACGACACGGGGCUGGAUUGUCUUUUGUUCUUCUUUUUCCUCCUGGAAUAAAUCCUGAAUGAUCACCCCCCAAAAAAAAUCUGCUUCCUUUUCUUUCUUUUUUUGCAUGCAAGCGUUUUCACACUUACUCCCUGUUUGAUGUAUUUCUAAUCGUGCUUUUUUUUCCCUCCCUCCCACCCACCAGCAGGCUUUCAGCUACGCGCAUGUGGCCGUAAGGCCAAGUUUGACCACGCCGGAUCGAGCGUAGAAGGUAUUUGGUGCGAAACAGAUGUUGAGCAGAGACACAAGACAGAUGCUGCAAAAAUCUCCAGGCGAUUGUUACCUUUCUUGGCUCAAGGUAGAACACUGGAUGGGGACGCCUGCAAACGUGCCGUUUGCAGAUGGCGCCUCCUGGAACUAUAAAUUCCUGACUAAUUGUCUGCUCUUUCGAUUUUUAAGCGUUACACUUCCACAACUGUUUGUGAAACGUUCAGUAGGAGCGACCUGAAUGUAUGGCAACUGUAUUUCUUUUUUUUUUUUUCAUUUUAAACUGAUAGUCGUGGUUUACAUAUUGUUUUAACUGCAUGAUCUUCAAGUGAUUGAUUGAGUAGGAGCUGUGGAAUUUUAAAAAAAAGCAAGCUGACAUUUGCCCCCCCAUUUAAUUUAAUAUCUGACUUAUGAAAAGUCAGUUGAACUGAAAACUUCCCUAUUGGAUAUUUGGACAUCCCUCCAUAUGGUUUCUCUAUUUUCUGAAUCUCCUCCUCCGGUUUUCAGGUGCUUCUGGUGGCUUGAUUUGAAUGAUUUACCAAUGCCUGUAAAUCUUACAAACUUUUUUUUUUUUGCCUGCAGGUUGAGCUUGGAAAAAAAAAUCAGCGGAUCCCCUUUCCCUCCAGGGUGUUUGUGGGACGUAGAGAUGUGGAGAGCUUCACAACGCUGGAAGUCAAUUGCAUUCCGAGCUUACCUACUCACCCGUCUGUGGUUGGACAAAAGCUGCACAAGAAGGGGGGCCUCUACACUGCAACACUUAUCGGAAAGAGGCAAGUGUGACUAAUUUCUAUUUCAGGAGGACUGCUUUUGUGAUUUUUCUUUUUUUUUGGGGUCCCAUAAAACUGGCGAUGAGACCAACUUUGUGUUAGAG